rnacentral:rRNA from 1 species
CCCUUAGAUGUUCUGGGCCGCACGCGUGCUACACUGAGUGGAUCAGCGGGUCAGGUUGCGCGAAAGCGUUUCCUAAUCUUUAAAUCCGCUCGGGAUGGGGAUUGACGGUUGCAAUUUUCUGUCAUGAACGAGGAAUACCUUGUAAGCGCGGGUCAUCAUCCCGCGCUGAAUACGUCCCUGCCCUUUGUACACACCGCCCGUCGCUCCUACCGAUUGAGUGGUCCGGUGAGGCUUUGGGAUCUGAGCGGAAAGAGCGUUUCGCUGUUUCUGCUCGGAAAACUCAGUCGAACCUUAUCAUUUAGAGGAAGGAGAAGUCGUAACA